rnacentral:rRNA from 1 species
GACGAACGCUGGCGGCGUGCUUAACACAUGCAAGUCGAACGGAAAGGCCCUGCUUUUGUGGGGUGCUCGAUUGGCGAACGGGUGAGUAACACGUGAGUAACCUGCCCUUGACUUUGGGAUAACUUCAGGAAACUGGGGCUAAUACCGGAUAGGAUCUCCUGCUGCAUGGUGGGGGUUGGAAAGUUUCGGCGUUUGGGGAUGGACUCGCGGCUUAUCAGCUUGCUGGUCGGGUAGUGGCUUACCCAGGCUUUGACGGGUAGCCGGCAUGAGAGCGUGACCGGGGUCCAGGGGACUAAGGGACGCACCAGUCGGGAACAGGAGGCAGUGGGGGGGAAUAUUGCACAGUGGGCGCGCGCGGGUUACGGAGGCGCCCCGUGCGGAAUGACGGCCUUCGGGUUGAAAACAGCUGUCGCCUGUGACGAAGCGGGAGUGACGGUAAUGAGUAAAGAAGCACCGGCUAACUACGUG